CAAACUUGUAAUCAUUCUUGUCAUAGUUGGAGCAGGAAUCGUUCUGUUGGCACAAGGAAAAACAGAGAAUUUUUCAAAUGCUUUUGAUGGCACUGCAACAUCUUUUGGAGCAAUUGGACUUGCAUUUUAUAAUGGGCUUUGGGCUUAUGAUGGAUGGAACCAACUAAAUUUCAUCACAGAAGAGCUAAAA